AAGAAUUAAGAUUUAAUAUUUUCUUUCUAGUGAUCGAUUUUAAUGAAACCGGGAAAUUGCCUGGAUCACCACAACGCGGUAAGCCUUUGAAUAAUAAAUAAUAAUGAGAAAAAUUGUUUGACAAAAAAAUUUAUGUGAACUAAAAAGAACAUAUAUGUUUACAAUUAUUUGAAUCAUCCCACCCAUAUAAUAUAAGUGGGUGAAAUGUUAGCUGUGUUCCUUAGAAUCGUUCUUGUAUUCGGUGUUUUAUCUUUUAAUACAGAUA